GAAUCACACUCAGACCCAAAGUAAUCAAGCACCACUCUCUUCUCCAAACAAAUCACGCGCUGACCUAAUUUCGUCUGCAAAAUCCAUGCUCACCGCACCAAAAUCAAAAUGAACCCAACUAGAAACCGUCAACGAGCCUGUCCAAACUGCAGAGGAAAUCAACUGACUGUGAAAAGUGGAAGAAAUUGAGCGGACGGGGUCCAAAUCGCCGACCAGAGACUCGUCGGUAAAGACCCUAAACACCGGAGAUCAGAAUCCAACUAGAAAACCUAAACUGCACCUUCGACCAGGGCCGCCUGAACCAAAGCCACGCACACCGGAGAUCGGACUCCACGCAGCCACCAAAAAACAGAACCGGAAAUACACACACCGGAUGGUUCCUUAGCAGCCAAAUUCUUUACUAGCACAGCUCCCUUGAGAUAAGAAUCCAAAGUUGAAGUCAUGCAUCGACCAAGCAUCUGAUAAAGAGAAUAAAAUGGCAUAAUUAUGUCUUAUGUAACUACCCUGGUGUCAUCAAAGCAACCACGAGCCAUUGUGACCUGCAGAUUCAAACAACAACGUAUUAUUUCCUAAGGUGCCAAGUAUGAAUUCUUCAAGGAGGGAGGGGCGUGGAAGACAAUACCUUUCUAGUUGAUAAGCAAAAUCUAUCAACCAGUUCGGAGACUCCCAUCAUACCAUCAGGUGCCAGUUUAGUAGGUGUCACGAUAAUGACUGUCGGAUCGUAAAAAUUUAGCAGUGUCUUUGUGUUUUGGUAUGAACUACUAGUCUCAAUGUACUGUGAAAGAUGCAGUGAAGCUGAUCUCAAGUCAAAUGCAGCCACUCCUACCUGCCAAGCAGAUAGUACCAUUAAUUUCAGCAGCCAAGUCAGCUGCCAGAAUUAUAUUGACAAUUUUUUUAUCUUUAAAGUUAUUAGAAAAAGGUCAAUUUAUCUUAUCAACAAUGUGGCAGUACUAGAGUUUCUGAAUUCACUAAUAAUGUACAUUCAUUCAAAACAAAUGAAAUUUGCGCUAUACAAAGCAAACAAAAGCAAAAUACAAAUGCGAAACUAUGGGAUAAUUUUAUCUUUAUCCGUGUUAUCCACUCCCCGAUUGUGAUUUUUGGAAAUUAGUUCACUGAACCAUCUCCACCAAUGGUCAUGGAUCACUUUAGGCAUGUGUGAGUGUAUAUGUAGGCAUUCUUGCUAACAGAUUUUAAAGAAGUUUGUGUAAACUGCAAUAAAAAACUUGCUAGCUGUGACUAAUUGAUGAACUUGCAGAAAUGGAGACGACCAUAAAGAAAUGUUUGAUGUCUAACUGAUGAACUUUCUAGCCAUAACUAACUGCAAGUGUAGGAAUAAGGCAGAUGGUCGUAGGGUUUGUAUCUAGCAAUGCUCCCAUUGGAUUACAUUUGUUUUGACAAACACGUUAUGCAAUCUGCAAUGUUUUGUUGAGGACUAUAGAGAACCACCUCCCCUGUGCCAUUUUUAAUGAGGGCAUCGAUUUCUUUAGUCAUGGCUUCUCUCCACUUAGGUUCUUCAAAGUUUGACAGAGACAAAUAGAUCCAAGGGGUGUGGACACGUCUGAGGUUGCUUGUGGUGGCUGAAAUUUUAUAGAACACAGUAAGAACGAGAAGUAGAAAUGAGUGAUGACAGGCUCACAGGAUGAUAACUGCUCCGAUAUUGCGACAGAUUUUUAUAGAAAGCUUUGGUGAACUGCGAUAUUUUCAUUGAAUCAUUAUACACAUCUACACAAUUCACAUGCAGCAAAUAAAUGGAUUCGAAACCUACAAAAAUGAAAUGCAUAUAGAUAGAGUUUACAGGAAAGGAAUUCAAAAGUUCAAUGCCACUAGCAUUGACAUAUUCUUCUUAGACAAGUUGUCGAACAAGCUCAAGAUGAUUGACAGAUACUUCUUUCACAGAUUGAAGAGAAUUCACAUAUUCUUCUUCCAAAUGUUUGCUACUUCCCAAGACACAUUGGCUUACCAAUAAAUACAAUGAAAUUGCUGUAACUUACAACCGAAUUACAAUCACAUACAUCAAAAUGUGCAAAUUCACAUAGAUAAUAAGAAAAAGUUUGAUAUGUGCAAUUUCAUAACAAUAAAUACAUAUAAUAGUAAUAAGCACAAUAUUAGUUGUACGAGAACAUUCAAGUACUUAGUGGAUGAAAUUCUAAAUGCAGAGUACCAUGCGGUAUCAAAAUACAUACAAAAAAUUACUGGAGAUUACAAUUCGCAUUACAAUGUCAAAAUGUAUAAUAGUACGUGGAUGAUAUGAAAAUCGUUUUUAUA